AACGGAGAUGUACUAAUCAAGCCAUAACUGCUUUUUCUCCAACAUCAGAACUCUAGUUUUAUCAACGCAAAACAGAACCUCCGCCCCCACCCGGAGCCACGCCGUCGAACCCCGCUUCUUCUCCCCGCCGUCAUUCCAGAACCGCCGCCCCGCUCCGAGCCACGCCGUCGAUCUCCAUAAUCUUCUUUCCGCCGUCGAUCUCCGCAAUCUUCUCCUUGCCGUCGAUGCGAAACCGCCGCCUGGUCCAGAACCGCCCAUAUGCCGUCAAUCCCGCGCCGCCGCUCACCAUGGAGUCAUGGAACUAGCCUACAAUAGCAAUUGGAUCAGCAUUUGGAAACUAUCUGAGCUUCAUCCGUUCCGGAUUCUAUGGGGGAAGAACACGCUGAGCACUGGUUUGGAACUUCUUCUGCUUCUUGCAUUCUCACACAUUAAUUUCAAGUAAAUGUGCCAACUCUCAAAUAAGAUUUGAUUUAUGUAAUUAGAUUGAGUCCCGUUGACAGAUCUUGCUUUAUCCUCCUUGAUUUAUGCUGAUAGAAAUAAAAAAAUGUGUUUUGGUAGCUAGUGAAGAACUAUUAUUGGAGGGAUUGUUGCUAACUAUUCUUGCAACUAUAGGAAAUGGCUCAUGUUUUCAGCUUGUAGGAGUGCCAGAUUAUCACUUGGUAAAUUGUGUCGAAAAAUGUAGUGUAAAUACAGUAUAUUGGUAAUUUCAGAUGUGGCUUCAUUAAAAUGUAAAUUGUGUCGAACUAUUGUUGGUUGUUUUGUUUGUUUUUUUAGCUAGCAAACUUUUCCAAGGAUGCAUCAAAUGGUUUGGGGGAUUUUGAAGAAACAUCUAAUGAUGAUAUCAAGUCUUUCUUCGACUCAUCCUCUCCUCUGAAGGAUGUUGCAGAAAUCAAAAGAAAAACUGAAGAAUUCAUUUUCAGGCAAUGUUGUCAGUUGCCCCCAAAUCAAAUCAAUGCUAAACUGGACGCGUGAAAUGUCCACGUGGCCACAUGAACUAUUAAACGAUGUGUUGGAUGUCUACGACACUUCAACUAUCUACAUCACUUCAGCUAGUCACGAUGACAUUAGUUAUUGGCAUUGACAACACUGUUGGAAUGAAUGCGUGUGCAGAGGAACCUACCAGCCAUUUUGCAGAUCUCUUCCAAAUAAUCAAUUGCUCGAAUGUUUAGAAGUUACUAAUGAAUCCAAUAUGACAGGUUCAUUUCAUCACCACUCCUAUUCCUGUCUAUAUUGUAUUUUCUGCUCAAGUUUCUGACUUCCUGUAUUGAUAGUAGAGACGCAUCCUAUGACAUAGGCAAUGCUCAAGGAUAUUGCUGUUUCUUUACAUAAACAUAUGUUCUCUUGAUGUUAAUGCUCAAUUUGCUCGAAGUAAUUUUAGGGCUCGCUUGGUAAGGCAUGAUAUAUUUGAUUGAGAUGUCUUUUGAUAUAAUAACUGUGUUUUGUACUACUACUACCUGGAAGUUGGUAUGCAAAAUCACACAAAUCUGAAUUAUAUUUUUGGGUUUUUUCUUAUAAAGGAUUGUGUGUAUUUUGUGCCAAACAAGAUAUUAGAGUGUCAUAAGUAUAUUAUAUAUCUUAAUCACGCGUACCACACAAGCCCUCUGAUUAACCGUGUGAUCAUUGUUUCUAUCAGUAACAGCCAUGCGGUAUGAUCAUCACUGUUUUUAGUGAAGUCUUUGUGCUCGUCUUGUGACUUGAUCGAUCAACAUUGAGACUCUGUUUUUCAGGCAACGAGCAGUGGCACUUUGCUGAAACUUCCCUUCACCACGAUAUUCGAGUAUCUUCAGGUUGUUACUCUCGCAUGAAAAUCGAGAGAAUCAGAGUUACUCUAAUUGGGGAAGGGGAGAAAUGAGUUCCAAGUGGAGUUAACAAAUCACUUAUUAAUUCCAGCUUGAACUCACAACGCCAGUUGUGAGAUAGAAACAGCUGACAACAGCAAAUGAUGAACACUUUUUCUUCUCAUUUUUCCUUUACAGCAUUAGCUCAAUGAGUCUUUCACUUAUGAAGAGCGAUCGAAUGAAUAAAUAUUUUGCUAACUAUUGUUAUGCAAGAAAAUAAUCUAGUUCUUUUUUCAUUUUAUUUUGGCUUCUCUGCAAAGGUAGUUACCAGUUAUAUGUAUGAGAGCUAUUUACAUUGUCGGUGCAAUAAUAUUCGAAUAUGAUGUCAGGAGAUAAA